UUCUUAUUCAGAUUGAGGAUGUGAAUCCUCAGUUACUGUCUCAUUAUUUAUUGGUUGCGGGUCGCUGCAGCUCUGCUCUGGGUCAUAGGUUAAAGGUACAGCCCAUUCCUGGGGCAGGCUAUUCCCAUAGCAGAGAGAAACCACACGACAAAGCCACUUCUCAAAAGUUUAGCUCACACUCUGUUGCCUAGAGGAAGUCACACAGCCAAGCCUGACUUCAGUCGGGAGGGUCACCAGGGAAUUGCCAAUGGGAUAAAUACUUCGACAAUAAUACAAUCUACCACAUCUACUGUAAGGGGAAAACCAGCACCACUUGCUCUCAAUAGAAAGUGACCACAAAAAGUGGGAGGCUGCUGUUUGAGACUCCAACCUGGGUCAAAAUGCUUGCAGAUGGGUUUUAUGGAAUCCCAAUAUACCUGGGAAAGCUGACUGGAGUUGCAAGAGGGGUGUCUCGCAAGUGGAGUCAGCUUUUGAGUGUUUCCGUGAAGAGACACAGAAAAGUACAAAGAAGAAAACUAAAAAGGUGACCCAGAGAGAACCACUCUAAGAUGUUCAUGGGAAUUCAGCUCAGCUUGUGUAUUUAUAUUGAGAUCCUAUAUUGAGAUCCCACUGU